CACCUUGUUAAAAAUGAAAGAAAAACGCCAUUGUCUCCACCGACAAUUAUGAUUCUUAUCACAAAGAACCAUCAUCCUCAAAAAAGAAUAAACCUACUCCACCAAAUGAGUAGAACACUUAGAAUAAACCAUUCUAAGAAUUUUACUUCGGCACAUGUCGAAAAAACCUUGCUGAAAUUUUGGUGCAACCUUCUAGCUUUUGGCCCUCCUAGAAGUCAUCAGCCAUCGACAUACUUUUCACCACACAC
rnacentral:lncRNA from 1 species